UCAAGCGAAUAAGCGCACACGGUGGAUGCCUUGGCGGUCAGAGGCGAUGAAGGACGUGGCAGCCUGCGAAAAGUGUCGGGGAGCUGGCAACAAGCUUUGAUCCGGCAAUGUCCGAAUGGGGAAACCCACUGCUUCGGCAGUAUCCUGCAGUGAAUUCAUAGCUGCUGGAAGCGAACCCGGUGAACUGAAAUAUCUAAGUAACCGGAGGAAAAGAAAUCAACCGAGAUUCCCUAAGUAGUGACGAGCGAACGGGGACUAGCCCUUAAGCUGGUAUGGUUUUAGAAAAACAACCUGGAAAGGUUGGCCAUAGAAGGUGAUAGCCCUGUAUUUAAAAGGGCCAUACCAGUGAAGACGAGUAGGGCGGGGCACGUGAAACCCUGUCUGAACAUGGGGGGACCAUCCUCCAAGGCUAAAUACUCCUGACCGACCGAUAGUGAACCAGUACCGUGAGGGAAAGGCGAAAAGAACCCCGGAGAGGGGAGUGAAAUAGAUCCUGAAACCGUGUGCGUACAAGCAGUAGGAGCUCGUAAGAGUGACUGCGUACCUUUUGUAUAAUGGGUCAGCGACUUACUGUUCGUGGCAAGCUUAACCGUAUAGGGGAGGCGAAGGGAAACCGAGUCUGAUAAGGGCGCAUAGUCGCGGGCAGUAGACCCGAAACCGGGUGAUCUAGUCAUGCCCAGGGUGAAGGUCAGGUAACACUGACUGGAGGCCCGAACCCACUCCCGUUGCAAAGGUAGGGGAUGAGGUGUGAUUAGGAGUGAAAAGCUAAUCGAACCCGGAGAUAGCUGGUUCUCCUCGAAAGCUAUUUAGGUAGCGCCUCAUAUGUAUCCUCUCGGGGUAGAGCACUGUUAUGGCUAGGGGGUCAUCGCGACUUACCAAACCAUUGCAAACUCCGAAUACCGAGACGGACUGUAUGGGAGACACACGGCGGGUGCUAACGUCCGUCGUGAAAAGGGAAACAACCCAGACCCACAGCUAAGGUCCCAAAUUCACUGCUAAGUGGAAAACGAUGUGGAAAGGCAUAGACAGCCAGGAGGUUGGCUUAGAAGCAGCCACCCUUUAAAGAAAGCGUAAUAGCUCACUGGUCGAGUCGGUCUGCGCGGAAGAUUUAACGGGGCUAAGCAGUGAACCGAAGCUUGGGGUGCAUCGCGUUAAGCGAUGCGCGGUAGAGGAGCGUUCCGUAAGCCUGCGAAGGUGGAUUGAGAAGUCUGCUGGAGGUAUCGGAAGUGCGAAUGCUGACAUGAGUAACGAUAAUGCGGGUGAAAAACCCGCACGCCGAAAGCCCAAGGUUUCCUUGCGCAACGUUAAUCGGCGCAGGGUGAGUCGGCCCCUAAGGCGAGGGCGAAAGCCGUAGUCGAUGGGAAGCAGGUUAAUAUUCCUGCACCUCGCGUAAGUGCGAUGGAGGGACGGAGAAGGUUAGGUGUACCGGGCGUUGGUUGUCCCGGGGAAAGGCGGUAGGUUUGGAUCCUUGGCAAAUCCGGGGUCCUUUAAGACCGAGCACCGAGACGAGUCUUUGAGACGAAGUCACUGAUACCACGCUUCCAGGAAAAGCUCCUAAGCUUCAGCUUACGCAGACCGUACCGUAAACCGACACAGGUGGGUAGGAUGAGAAUUCUCAGGCGCUUGAGAGAACUCGGGUGAAGGAACUAGGCAACAUGGCACCGUAACUUCGGGAGAAGGUGCACCCUUUUUGGUGGCUCGUGCGAGCUAUAGCUGAAGAGGGUCGCAGAAACCAGGCCGCUGCGACUGUUUAUCAAAAACACAGCACUCUGCAAACACGAAAGUGGACGUAUAGGGUGUGACGCCUGCCCGGUGCUGGAAGGUUAAUUGAUGGGGUCAGCCGCAAGGCGAAGCUCUUGAUCGAAGCCCCAGUAAACGGCGGCCGUAACUAUAACGGUCCUAAGGUAGCGAAAUUCCUUGUCGGGUAAGUUCCGACCUGCACGAAUGGCGUAACGACAGCGGCGCUGUCUCCACCCGAGACUCAGUGAAAUUGAAAUCGCUGUGAAGAUGCAGCGUUCCCGUGGCAAGACGGAAAGACCCCGUGAACCUUUACUAUAGCUUUACACUGAACGUUGAGUUCGUCUGUGUAGGAUAGGUGGGAGGCUAUGAAACCAUGGCGCUAGCUGUGGUGGAGCCAUCCUUGAAAUACCACCCUGUCGUGCUUGACGUUCUAACCUAGGUCCGUAAUCCGGAUCGGGGACCGUGUAUGGUGGGUAGUUUGACUGGGGCGGUCUCCUCCUAAAGAGUAACGGAGGAGCACGAAGGUACGCUCAGCGCGGUCGGACAUCGCGCACUGUGUGCAAAGGCAUAAGCGUGCUUGACUGCAAGAUCGACGGAUCAAGCAGGUACGAAAGUAGGUCUUAGUGAUCCGGUGGUUCUGUAUGGAAGGGCCAUCGCUCAACGGAUAAAAGGUACUCCGGGGAUAACAGGCUGAUACCGCCCAAGAGUUCAUAUCGACGGCGGUGUUUGGCACCUCGAUGUCGGCUCAUCACAUCCUGGGGCUGUAGUCGGUCCCAAGGGUAUGGCUGUUCGCCAUUUAAAGUGGUACGCGAGCUGGGUUCAGAACGUCGUGAGACAGUUCGGUCCCUAUCUGCCAUGGGCGUUGGAGAUUUGAGAGGGGCUGCUCCUAGUACGAGAGGACCGGAGUGGACGAACCUCUGGUGUUCCGGUUGUCACGCCAGUGGCAUUGCCGGGUAGCUAUGUUCGGAAGCGAUAACCGCUGAAAGCAUCUAAGCGGGAAGCGCGCCUCAAGAUGAGAUCUCCCGGGACACAAGUCCCCUAAAGGAACCAUGUAGACUACGUGGUUGAUAGGUCAGGUGUGUAAGUGCAGCAAUGCAUUGAGCUAACUGAUACUAAUGAUCCGUGCGGCUUGACCAU
rnacentral:rRNA from 1 species